CUAAAUCUAUAGACUGGUGCAUAUGAGAAGAGAAGACACAAGAAAACACACAUGGAAGAGAGUGAUGAAGGCGAAGACCGGAGUGAUGUAGCUCCAAGCCACAGAAUGUCAGAGAUCGCCAGGAGCCACCUCCGGGAUAAGCAGAUGGAAAGGCAGCUCAACAUCUGAGAAGCCAGUCUUACUCCCUGCAGGCAACAGCUGCUUCCAGAAAACAGCCCUAUUACUUCACCAAAGUACAGUUCCUACAGGAAGAUAAUGAUCUGACCUAACCUACUAUUGGCUGAAGGAAGGAGAAAAGCAGCUGAAGAUGUCUGUUGAGUGAUUACCCUCAUAAUCCGUGACUAAGAACAUCCAAAUCAGCAUGGCUUCUUCCUGUCUGAAAUUAUUACUACUUAGGGUUUUUCACGUGUUAUUUCAUUUAUUGAUUAUUCUGUUUUAAACUUGCAAGACGUAUUGUCUCUUCAGAAAUAAAACUUUAUCACUUGCUUCAUCAAUUCAAUUAAUUUCACAAUGCAUUGAUUAAACUCCUACGUAAGCAUUUCAGCAUUUUAAAACAUUUUUAAAAAGGUAAAAUCAGGACUGUCAUGUGAAUGAUAUGCCAAAGGUUUUA
rnacentral:lncRNA from 1 species